rnacentral:rRNA from 1 species
UACAGAGGGUGCAAGCGUUAAUCGGAAUUAUUGGGCGUAAAGGGCGCGUAGGCGGGGGGAUAAGUCGGAUGUGAAAUCCCGGAGCUCAACUCCGGACCCGCAUUUGAUACUGUCCUUCUUGAGGUUAGUUGGGGAAAGCGGAAUUCCACGUGUAGCGGUGAAAUGCGUAGAUAUGUGGAAGAACACCGGUGGCGAAGGCGGCUUUCUAAGUUAAACCUGACGCUGAGGCGCGAAAGCAAGGGGAGCAAACAGG